CCCUUAGACGUUCUGGGCCGCACGCGCGCUACACUGACGAAGGCAACGAGCUUUCCUUUACCGAAAGGUACGGGUAAUCUUUUGAAACUUCGUCGUGCUGGGGAUAGAUCCUUGCAAUUUUUGAUCUUAAACGAGGAAUGCCUAGUAAGCGCAAGUCAUCAACUUGCGUCGAUUACGUCCCUGCCCUUUGUACACACCGCCCGUCGCUACUACCGAUUGAAUGGUUUAGUGAGGCCUUCGGAUCCGCGACUCGUUUGUGGAGAAGUUGGACAAACUCAGUCAUUUAGAGGAAGUAAAAGUCGUAACA
rnacentral:rRNA from 1 species